rnacentral:SRP_RNA from 2 species
GCCAGACAUGGUGGUGCAUGCCUGUAGUCCCAGCUACUAGGGAGGCUGAGGUGGGAGGAUCACUUGAGUCCGGGAAGUCGAGGUUGCAGUGAGAUAUGAUCAUGCCACUGCACUCCAGCCUGGGUGACAGAGUGAGACCCUGCCUCAA